rnacentral:rRNA from 1 species
UACGGAGGGUGCAAGCGUUAUCCGGAAUCACUGGGUUUAAAGGGUGCGUAGGCGGCUUGAUAAGUCAGGGGUGAAAGCCCGCAGCUUAACUGCGGAACUGCCUUUGAUACUGUCGAGCUUGAAAGAGGUUGAGGUCAGCGGAACGUGACAUGUAGCGGUGAAAUGCAUAGAGAUGUCAUAGAACACCGAUUGCGGAGGCAGCUGGCUGGACCUACUUUGACGCUGAGGCACGAAAGCGUGGGGAGCGAACAGG